CCUACGUGAGGCAGCAGUGAGGAAUAUUGGUCAAUGGACGAGAGUCUGAACCAGCCAAGUAGCGUGAAGGAUGACUGCCCUAGGGGUUGUAAACUUCUUUUAUAUGGGAAUAAAAUGUUCCACGUGUGGGAUUUUGUAUGUACCAUAUGAAUAAGGAUCGGCUAACUCCGUGCCAGCAGCCGCGGUAAUACGGAGGAUCCGAGCGUUAUCCGGAUUUAUUGGGUUUAAAGGGAGCGUAGGUGGAUUGUUAAGUCAGUUGUGAAAGUUUGCGGCUCAACCGUAAAAUUGCAGUUGAAACUGGCAGUCUUGAGGACAGUAGAGGUGGGCGGAAGUCGUGGUGUAGCGGUGAAAUGCUUAGAUAUCACGAAGAACUCCGAUGGCGAAGGCAGCUCACUGGACUGCAACUGACACUGAGGCUCGAAAGUGUGGGUAUCAAACAGGAUUAGAUACCCGGGUAGUC
rnacentral:rRNA from 1 species